rnacentral:lncRNA from 1 species
UAUGAUUUAUGUGGUAAGAGCUUUCUCAAAAAAAAAAAAUCACUUUCUCAAAAAACAUGAUUUAUACGGUAUGAAUGAACAAUACAUUACAACCAUGACAUUUCUAAAUUUUAGUCAUUUUUGUCCAACUCAGACAGAUCAACGCAAUAUAAGCUUGGUCAACGGUCAAACGCGUUUAAAAUUCACGUUUUUAUCAAGUUCAGGUCUCUGCUUGAAAC